rnacentral:ncRNA from 1 species
CUUAUCAAGAGCGGCGGAGGGAACAGGUCCUGUGAAGCCCGGCAACCUGACUGAUUACAGACAAGGUGCUAAAUCCUGCGGUUUAUCCGAAAGAUGAGG